UGAUCAUUCGAAGAUGGGAUCCCUCGC
rnacentral:piRNA from 1 species